rnacentral:pre_miRNA from 1 species
UUUGAGGGGAAUGUUGUCUGGCUCGAGGACACUUUUCUUCACUUUUGCUUUCUAUAUAUGAAUCUGAUUAUGAUUCUAAUGGAUUCGGGAUUCUGUGCUAGUGUCGUCGGACCAGGCUUCAUUCCCCCCAAU